rnacentral:misc_RNA from 1 species
UAAGGCUGUGAACACUAACAACAGAUGGUACCCACACUAGUCCUGGGGUUGGCUGGGUCGACCAGUGACCCCCUCACACCCUACACCUAUGGGCAUUACUUAACCGGCUUGAAAAGGGCAUACACGGUACCUUCAUAGGGGAGAUAAUAUAUUUAUAAAAAUGGCACAUCGCAUGCUGCUACGACUGGGUCUGCUGGGUGUUGGAGGAGCAUCAAUAACAUACAACAUUGAUGAGCUAGAAACAGCAGCAAUUGGAGCUCUUAGAUUUGGUCGAGCGGCAGUUGCGGUAACAAAAAUCAUCACCGAGUAUCGAUCAGCAUUAUACUCUGGCUCCAUCACUCCGGAAUCUGACAACUAUAAAGAGAUGAAAUCGCAGACUCAUUUGCAUUCUGCUAGGGAGUUACUAGAUUUAUGCUGUACAAAUGGUGGGGCCUUUGUGAAGGUUGGUCAACAUCUGGGGUCCCUGGAGUACCUACUGCCUGUAGAGUAUGUUAACACAAUGAAGGUCUUACAUUCCAACGCUCCCAGGUCUUCUCUCGAGGAUGUCUACCAGGUCAUCGAGGAGGAACUCAAAUGUAAGCCCAAAGAAUUAUUUUUAGAAUUUGAACCAGAGCCUUUGGGCGCAGCAUCCCUUGCACAAGUCCAUCGUGCAAAGCUUCAUGAUGGGCGGGAAGUAGCUGUGAAGGUGCAGCACCGAAGUGUCAAGGCUCACUCUAAGGUUGACAUGAAGGGAAUGGAGCUGCUUGUGAAAAUGGUGUCACAUAUUUUCCCUGACUUCAGAUUUGAAUGGUUAGUGGAGGAGAUGAAGAAGAAUUUACCAAAGGAGCUGGAUUUUAUGCAUGAAGCAAGGAAUGCUGAAAAAGUUGCUGCACAGUUUGCUCAUUUCUCUUGGUUAAAGAUCCCAUUCAUUGACUGGAGCCAUACAACAGACAGGGUUCUGGUUAUGGAAUUUUGUGAAGGUGGUCAAGUGAAUGACCGAAACUAUAUGGUUGCUAAAGGAAUCAACACCAGUGAAGUUUCUGAAAGAAUUGGCAGAUUAUAUUCAGAAAUGAUCUUCGUCAAUGGUUAUGUUCACUGUGACCCUCACCCAGGCAAUGUAUUGGUGAAAAAAGUCAACAAUGAAGCCCAAAUUAUUCUGCUGGAUCAUGGCCUUUAUACGAAUUUGACCAGUGAUUUUCGUAUCACAUACAGCAAGUUCUGGUUAAGUAUACUUAAUGCAGAUCUCAAAGCGAUUCAGCGUUAUGGAGACCAGUUGGGUGUUGGGGAACUGUUUGGUUUAUUUGCUUGCAUGGUGACUGGUCGGUCCUGGGACUCUAUAUCUAAGGGGAUUGAUAAGAAAGAGCGAUCGUCAGCAGAGCAAGAUGCAAUCAAAGCUGAUGCAGCCAAGUAUCUGCCAGAGAUAUCUGCUGUGCUGAAUAGAGUUCCUCGUCAAAUGCUUCUCAUCCUUAAGACAAAUGAUCUGCUUAGGGGGAUUGAGUUCUCCCUUAAUACUCAAGAGAGAAGCUUCCCUGUGGCCGAGCAUGUGGCGUGACACGCAAAUAGUCACACUGAAACCUGAUAACCCGCACUGAGCAUUCAAACAAGGCCGCGAAAAGUAUGAAAUCAUUUAUCACGAUGUCACGAUGUUGCAUACGUUCGCUGUUUGCUCACCAGAGGAUACUUUGUAAUUCUACUCUUUGUUCUGUGAGAGUGAGUGUUGCAGAGACUUGGGCA